CCGGCGAAACCCUGGGCCGCUGAAGUGGAGCGGGCGAACUUAACCACUCGGCCACGGGGCUAGGUCCUGAAAUUUACUUGUGUAUACCUUUCCAUAACCAAGAGAAUUUUGGUUCCCAAGUAUAUUAACUGUACAGGAUGAAAAUCAUGCUUAUGACAGCUGAAACACACGUUUUACUGGCCUUUCUUCCCUGGACUUUAGACCUCUGUGAAGGUGACUGCGUGUCUUCCCCACUGUUUCCGGGAGUUCCCGAGGGGAAUUGUGUAUAUUGUGUUCGGUUCCCAUGAGCCUUCUCCGAUUUUCAUCCUCUUUUUGCUCCAACAUCUUCCUGAGUAUCUCCAUAUCCACCAAAAGCCACUACACUGGGCAUGGCAGGACCUGUCUUCUAAUGGGAACUGCCUUUGCUGACCUGCUGCAGACCACAGGUCCUGCAGGAGACGGUGUUCUCAGGUUGUUCUGAUGUGUCAGAGAACCUUUCUCCCCUCUUGGUGUUACUUCCUGUUGAAUAGGCACAAAAUCACUGCUGUUUGUGCCCCAAUAGAAACUCUUGGUGAAAUAGAUUUUUGGUUUCUUACCCUGAGUGCUACCAUUCACCAUAAGACUCAAGACAAGUCCAUAGGGAGUUAGGCUGCAAGUAACUAUCACGUUAGAAGCAAACGUCUCCCCUCUGACAAUCACUGCCAGACCUAACUCCCUUCUCAGAGUGGAGGGCUCCUUGGGUUGUCCUGCACAUCGAUUUCAGGCAGCCCUUCUCUCCAGUUCACAGACCUGCAACAUAGGUCUGAAACUCACUGGAGCACACCACCGAUGUGCAGGUUGAGGCCGCUUCCUAGACAAGGAGAGAUAGCGAGAUAAAUGGAUGCUGGGGCUGUAAAGCACGGCAAAGCACAUGGCAGAGAGAGAGAGAGGAUUUUGCAGCCGUGCUUCGUGACAGAUCAAGGAGGUCAUGGGAAUAUUGAUCUUAGAGCCCUCCUGUAGGGCCAUCUGGGACCCGAGAGCGAGAGGAAGUGUUUGAGAGGGACCAGCUGAGGCAGAGGGAGAGGAAGGAAGUGUGAGGCAGGAUGUAUUGAGGUGGAACUGAGAGUAUGGGAGUCAACAGUUCCUGGGUCUUGAAACGAUAAAAGCACGAUGAUGUACCAUUUUCCGUGUAUCUAUUGGCAAAGAUUCAAGAAGUGAUAAUGCUUAAUCUGGAAAAAGGUGCCGAGGCGAGGCUCCCUCAGGACCUUUCUGAAGAGCAGGGCCCACCAGGACUUCUUCAGGGACCUUGUGAGUGCCCACGGCCUGGUUGGAUGCUCCCUGGUUUGCAGUUACUAAGGACUUUCUUUAAAUGUAACAGAGGAAAUCAGCGUCACGAUACCAUCCCUGGGCCCUGGGAGACUGUGGGGGACACUUCCUCACUGGGGUGGCUCUGGCCUUUCUUAAUAAAGGAAAUUAAACUGAUUUAUGACAAUACAAGAGCUCAGAUGCUGGGGAGUAAAUGGAAAAGAUGUUAAAGAUAUUUGUGCAUUCCCAUCUGAGGAGGCAGGAUAAUUAGUUCCACUUUGAUGACUUUUAAGUGACGUGGCACCAGAGUUGAAACUGGAGGUCCCAUUAGUUAGCAACCACUCUCUAAAUAAUACUAAUAGUAAGAACAAAAACACAUAUUUACAGUACAUUUAUCACAUCCUGGCAUGGUUCUAUGCUUAACCUAUUAGGUGUUACUUGUUUAAUCCUCACAAAACCCCCAUAAAUGUCACUAUCGACUCUGGCUCCCAGAGCGUGGGUGCGAGUGUCUCUGCGUUAGAACCCCGUGGUGACGUGCGUGGGGCUGGGGUUUUCUCAGAGGCAUCAGAUGACUGAGAGAUCACAAAAUCUGGAUCAGAGCCAGGCCAUCUGACCCCGGGUCUCAUGAUCUGGCAUUUCUCCAACUAACGAGUUUCAAAAUGAGAAAAGGGGAAUAAUUCCUGAAUAUGGAAGAAUUUUCAUGUAAGGCUAACCGUGUUCUAUUUAUUUAGUGUGCCUCACUAAAUUACUAUUUCCCUUCAGUAUGAUAAAUGCACACAGUAUACUUCAAAGGCUUUCCAACAGAAGACAAAAAGUUCAGCUGUGUGCUAAUCACUGAAAUUGUGGAGGCCUUUUCUCUCACGUCAACUGUAUCCUGUGAAGAAGAGAUUUGCAUCAUCUCUAACACCGCCCUGCAGUCCAGAAGGAAUUUCAUUUUUCAGUUGUGGUCCUCGCUCCUCCACUUUCUCCCCCAACCCUGAAAAAAUAGCCUAAGUUUCUAUCAGGGCAAGCAAAGGGGGCCAUUAGUUUGUGUCCGGAAACAGUGAAGGAAUUUCUGAGCGCUUGAUAAGCUCGGCACAUGUGGAAACAAUCUAAUUUUCCAUUGGAUGGCCCAAAAACGUAUUCAAAUUAUGUAGUUUUGAAAUGCUAAACUUUAGAACUUGUUUCUUAAUAGGAAGUGUUUUGGGAUAGUUUCCUUUCAGUGAAUUUGAAUAACAAAUCGUUUGCAAUAAUCAUAAGCAAUCUUAAUUCUCGGUUUAUUCCCGUUCCCUGAAGGACAGUGCAAGUCUGGCGAUAUGUGUUACUGCUCCCUGCCCACCAGGGAGGACACGCCUGGAGGGAAUAGGAGGAAAUCAGAACAAGGACAGCUCCCUCACUCCUUUAGGCUCCUAUUUUGACAGUUGGCCACGAAUCUGAAAUCAUCCUUCGCUAGCCGCAAUCUGAUUUCUAUGCAAGACUUUUCUUAAAGAAUAUGACAGUGUUUGAGUUCAUGUGGCCUUUUAAAUGAGAACUUUGAAGCAGUAAACUAAAGGUAAAGAAAUGGUGAACGUAGAAUUGCGUAUCUGUAAGAACUCCUGAGAACCAACACUUCAAAAUCUGGUUGAGCUCGUUAAAAUAUGCAAAUUUCUUAAAGUCAGUGAAAUGCAAAGUCAUAUUUCAGCGAUGCGCCAAAGAAGAUCCCCAUUCCUGGCCUGGGGUAAACUUUUCCCCUGUGUCUGGGGUAAUGAGACGGAGGUGCGGAAGAGAUGUAAAGGUUGUCGCCUGGAGUUACUAUUAGGACAAUAAUCUGCAUUUCAGUACUCCCACAUGCGUAGCUUCUUUUGAUCUUUGUAGCAGUUUUACAAAGUUAACCAUUGUUGUCUCCAUUUUACACAUUAGGAAGCUUAGGUAUAUAGAGAAUAACAGAAAUAGUACAUGGAAGACAGCAUGAUCUAAUGGAAAGAGAACGGAUUCAAAACGCCAGCUCCCUGUCUUAGUGCCAUGAUACGCUGUGGCGGUCGUGUCUAGCUUCAAGUCUUGUUUCAUCGCCUGUAAAAUGGGAUAAUUCCAUGGACCUCAAAAGAGCCAGGGGACCCAAAGGCAGUAAGGUACUUUGUGGGUUCGUGUGUUCACCAGCUGUAAGAAACUGCUCAUCCACAUGCAGGAUUCUUAUUCCCCACAACAUGUGUUAACUGAUCCUACUGUGUGCAUGGGGAGGGCUGUUUGUGAUAUGCAGGGUAUUUAUGGUUUAUGGCAUCGCCUGUCUCUAACGUCUGCAAAUGAAGAAGAUGAUGGCACUGGUCAAGUUCACUCCAAAAAUGGAGAAGUGGAGGAGCAGAGAGGAAAAUUAUUUGUGCAGCAUUACACAGAAGGUCCAUGACGAGGCCAGAAGGGGAACCCACGUUACUGACCUCUCGUCCGGUUCCCUGUCCCCGAGAGAGCACGGACGAUGCUGCAGCUCCUGGGCGUGCGGUCGCAUCCUCAUUCUUCUGCACACUCACAAGUGCAUUUUCCAGGGACACCACUGCAGGAGCCUCCCCCACCGCCUUGCAACUUAUAUUUAGCUCUGAAGACAAGGGUUAGCUUGACCUAGACGGCAGUCAAAGGGGAGGCCAGGCUGCUGUGGCCUGGAAAGAGGGAGGAAGAGCUAAAAGCAGUGGCUCUGUAGAAACUGCAGGAAAAUCUCUGAUCUUGAGGUCCCCUGAGAGAAGAAGUUCUAACCCCAAUGAUGACAGAGUUGAAUUAAAAUAUAAAUGCUUCCAAAUAACUGUUGCCAGGAAGCGGAUGACAUGCUAAAUUACUCUGCAGACUGACUACUUAAUUCAGUGAUUUCCUGAGUCAGGAGUUGCCAGAAGAGCCAUUUUGUCCUUUUUGGCAGAAAAGCCGCGGGACUGCUGUCUCCAGUCCUCUUUCCUGUGCUUCCUGCGUAGGAAGGCCUGUUUCCUGCAGAGAGGUACCUGAUUAGACGGCGCUAUUUUAGUAGGCUGGGGACGAGGGAGCGAGUGAGGUCUUUGGUUUGCUGUUGAGCUGUGGACAGCGUGGAGGCCGCAUGCAGCACAGAAAUACACAUCCUUUCAGAAAACGUGGAACAGUGAAUCAGAAGCAAAUUAGACCCAGAAAAUGUCCAAACCGUCAUGUUGCAACAUUAUCGUCUGUUUGGUUUUAAAUGUUUUGAGAUGCCUGGUUUAUUUUUUGUGUAAAGAACUCUGUUGCGGUCUUAAUGUAGUUCUUCGGAACUGAAUUUUAAGCAACGGGAUUAAUGUUUACCCAGUGGUUAUGAUGCCGCUGAGGGCUCUGAUGCUGGUGAGGGAUGACUUCCUGGCAGCAGAUGAGAGCGUUAGGGCUUGACCUGAGCCGGAGUGGGGAUUUUACAGAACCUGACUGAUGAGCUGUUUGUAUCCUGGCUCAGCACUGCUCCUAUUCCUUUGACAGUUCCUCCACCUUGUCUCUAAAAGAAAUAAAGUGGCUGAAUAAGAUGCAUGUAAUUCAGCAAAGCUAAAUAAGCACAAAGGUCAGAACAUUCAGGCAAAAUGAAGAAAAGGGUAGGAAGCAAACUGGAAGACGAAAGAAUUUGUUCCCGAAACAGAGUGGAUGAAGAUUUGUUUCUUCUAAUACUCGGUGGACGUUGAUUCUGCAUGACGUUUUCUUACUGUGUGUGUGCCUUGACCACUCAGUAGAUGUAAGCUUCUCAUGGGCAAGACCUCCGACCUGGGCUUCUUAGAGCUCCGUGUCUCCUUCAGAGCCUUACCUGCUGUCUGGGCCCCUUACAUGUGGGCUGGUGUUGAUGGUGAUGCUUGCAUCUCUUCUCAUCCAUAGGCUCUACUUUGGACCACCCAACGUUGCAACCUCAUUAAACACAUUAGCAAUUAUUUCAGGAGUUGUUAUUUUGGAUCAGAGAGCAUCACAAGUUAGUUGCCUUUAAACAAAUUUGGGGUCACUUUGUUCAAUAGUUUCUGAUUUCUGU